GGGGGGGGUCCUCUGUCAUCAGCACCCUCAGCCAGUGGAGACACUUCGAGCGUCUCCUCGUCCACCUCCUCGGCGUCACUACAGACUCUUUGUCAGAAGGGAAAUACUGAGGAGCUCGACAGACGGAACGGACGGAUGGGAAGGGAAACAAAAGCUGGAGGAUACGACGAGUGAAAAGACAAACACGAGUCCACCAUCCAUCCAUCAUCCAUCCAUCCUCCUUCCAUCAUUGGAUGCGUCAUCCAUCAUCUAUCCAUCAUGCAUCAAUUUUACAUCAUCUAUCCGUCAUCACUCAUCUUUCAUCCAUCAACAACCCAUCCAGCUGUCCAUCAUCCAUCCAUCAUCCAUCACCCAUCCAUUUCACAUUAUCUAUCUAUCCAUUACCCAUGCGUCACACAUCCAUCAUCCCUCCAUCCAUCAUCAUGCAUCCUUCAUCCAACCAUCAACAACCCAUCCAUCAUCAUGCAUCCAACCAUCAACAACCCAUCCAUCAUCAUGCAUCCUUUAUCCAACCAUCAACAACCCAUCCAUCAUCAUGCAUCCUUCAUCCAACCAUCAACAAUCCAUCCAUCAUCAUGCAUCCAACCAUCAACAACCCAUCCAUCAUCAUGCAUCCUUCAUCCAACCAUCAACAACCCAUCCAUCAUCAUGCAUCCUUUAUCCAACCAUCAACAACCCAUCCAUCAUCAUGCAUCCUUCAUCCAACCAUCAACAACCCAUCCAUCCAUCCAUUACUCUCUCUUUGCUCCUUUUAUUUGUGGUAAAAACAC
ensembl:lncRNA